AGCUAUCAUUAUCCUAAGACAUUUGGGGGCCAACCAAAGCCGAUAUCCGGGGUUAAUUCGCUAGUUGCUUCGCUGCACGGCGGGAGAGCUUAUGUGAUCGGCAACCGGUAUCCUCCAGCUGAGGGGCGUAUGGUGCAGUGUGGGCCGGCGUUCCGCGUCGCGAAUCCCUACGUCUGCCCCGGAUCGUCCCUUGGGAAACCCAGCGGGGGCAAUUGGAUGGCCCGUGGAAAUCUUUCGGUGGCUUCGGUCUCGGGGCUUUCCGGGCUGAGCGUCGGGCUUCGGCUCGGCCUCCGACCUUGUAAAUAUCCUGAUCAUCCCUUUGGGGGUGGGGUGUGACUAGGCGUGAACGCUCCUCGAGGGCGUGCGACCGAACUCUUAAGAUAGU
rnacentral:misc_RNA from 1 species